rfam:Ictidomys tridecemlineatus contig031584, whole genome shotgun sequence.
GUGGUUGUAGCUCAGUGGUAGAGCACUCGCCUUGCAUGUAUGAGGCCCUGGGUUUGAUUCUCAGCAACACA